rnacentral:rRNA from 1 species
UACGUAGGCAGCAAGCGUUGUUCGGAGUUACUGGGCGUAAAGGGUGCGUAGGCGGCUUUUUAAGUUUGGUGUGAAAUCUCCCGGCUCAACUGGGAGGGUGCGCCGAAUACUGAGAGGCUAGAGUGUGGGAGAGGAAAGUGGGAAUUCCUGGUGUAGCGGUGAAAUGCGUAGAUAUCAGGAGGAACACCGGUGGUGUAAACGGCUUUCUGGACCAUAACUGACGCUGAGGCACGAAAGCGUGGGUAGCAAACAGG